rnacentral:rRNA from 1 species
AUACGGAGGGUCCAAGCGUUAUCCGGAUUCAUUGGGUUUAAGGGUCCGCAGGCGGGAAAAUAAGUCAGUGGUGAAAGCCUACAGCUCAACUGUAGAACUGCCAUUGAUACUGUUUUUCUUGAGUAUAGAUGAAGUGGGCGGAAUAUAUCAUGUAGCGGUGAAAUGCAUAGAUAUGAUAUAGAACACCGAUUGCGAAGGCAGCUCACUAAACUAUUACUGACGCUCAGGGACGAAAGCGUGGGGAGCGAACAGGAUUAGAUACCCUAGUAGUCC